CGCCUGUUUAUCAAAAACAUCUCUUCAUGAAUUUAUUUGAAGUCAGGCCUGCUCAAUGAGUUUUAAAUAGCCGCGGUAAUUUAACUGUGCAAAGGUAGCAUAAUAAUUAGUCUUUUAAUUGGGGUCUUGAAUGAAUGGUUAGACGAGAAAUAAACUUUAUUUUUUUAAAUAAUUAAAUUUAAUUUUUUUGUUAAAAAGCUUAAAUUUAUUGAAGUGACGAUAAGACCCUAUAGAUCUUAAUUAAUUUUUAAUAUUUUUUUUUUUGUUGUAUUUUAUUGUUAUUAAAUUUAAUUUUGUUGGGGUGAUUGCUAAAAUUUUAAUCUUUAGUUUUUUAUUACAUUUAUUUUUGGUUAGUUUGAACUUAUAUUUUGUUUGUAAGAUAAAGAUACCUUAGGGAUAACAGCGUAAUUUGUUUGGAUAGUUCAAAUUGAUAAAUAAGUUUGCGACCUCGAUGUUGGAUUAAAUUUUGUUUAUGGGGUAGGUUUCAUAAUUCUAGGUCUGUUCGACUUUAAAAUUUUACAUGAUCUGAGUUCAGACCGG
rnacentral:rRNA from 1 species